rnacentral:lncRNA from 1 species
AACCCUUUAAGAACAAUCACAAAAACGUAAUGCUAGUGUUAAGAUAUAACAUAUGUGAAUUGUUCCUGCAAUAAAGGGAAGGAAGUUAUUGGUGUUUGAAAAGACUUGAAACAUAACCACAAAUUGAGACCUCACAGCGGUCGCUGUGGAUUGUGUUUUUAUUUAUUUUUCAACUCUGUUAUAUUUGCCUGUCUUUUUAUUUUUAUUACUGUUGUUUUUCGAUUUUAAAAAUCGGUUUUGAAAAAUGUCACUAAUAAAACGUUGGUUUUUUAAGAAUAUUUCGAAAGACAGCAAUUAACUUUGUAAUUGAAUUUCAUCUUAAAAAACUGUAUAAAUUAAGACUUGUGUUUUUGUAUUUUGUUUUUCAUUUACAAUGUUGCCAAUGAAGAUCGAACCUAAAACCUCAUAGAUAUUACCUAAAUCAUUCACCAUUAGAUCAAAUCUAAUAGUUUUACGUUUUUGUUUUUUAGUUG